rnacentral:rRNA from 1 species
GAUGAACGCUGGCGGCGUGCCUAAUACAUGCAAGUCGAGCGAAUGGAUUAAGAGCUUGCUCUUAUGAAGUUAGCGGCGGACGGGUGAGUAACACGUGGGUAACCUGCCCAUAAGACUGGGAUAACUCCGGGAAACCGGGGCUAAUACCGGAUAACAUUUUGAACCGCAUGGUUCGAAAUUGAAAGGCGGCUUCGGCUGUCACUUAUGGAUGGACCCGCGUCGCAUUAGCUAGUUGGUGAGGUAACGGCUCACCAAGGCAACGAUGCGUAGCCGACCGGAGAGGGUGAUCGGCCACACUGGGACUGAGACACGGCCCAGACUCCUACGGGAGGGAGCAGUAGGGAAUCUUCCGCAAUGGACGAAAGUCUGACGGAGCAACGCCGCGUGAGUGAUGAAGGCUUUCGGGUCGUAAAACUCUGUUGUUAGGGAAGAACAAGUGCUAGUUGAAUAAGCUGACACCUUGACGGUACCUAACCAGAAAGCCACGGCUAACUACGUGCCAGCCGCCGCAGUAA